rnacentral:rRNA from 1 species
AUUGAACGCUGGCGGCGUGCCUAACACAUGCAAGUCGAGCGGUAACAGGUGUAGCAAUACAUGCUGACGAGCGGCGAACGGGUGAGUAAUGCUUCGGAAUCUACCUUAUGGUGGGGAAUAACUAGCCGAAGGGUUAGCUAAUACCGCAUACGUCCUACGGGAGAAAGCAGGGGAUCGCAAGACCUUGAGCCAAAAGAUGAGCCGAAGUCGGAUUAGCUAGUUGGGCGGGUAACGGCCUACCAAGGCGCCGAUCCGUAGCUGGUCUGAGAGGACGACCAGCCGCACUGGGACUGAGACACGGCCCGGACUCCUACGGGAGGCAGCAGUGGGGAAUAUUGGACAAUGGGGGAAACCCUGAUCCAGCGACGCCGCGUGUGUGAAGAAGGCCUGCGGGUUGUAAAGCACUUUUAGUGGGGAUGAAAUGUGCAGGGUUAAUACCUCUGCAUUUUGACCUAACCCACAGAAAAAGCACCGGCUAACUCUGUGCCAGCCGCCGCAGUAA